UGGCGAACGGGUGAGUAACACGUGAGUAACCUGCCCACAACUUUGGGAUAACGCUAGGAAACUGGUGCUAAUACUGGAUAUGUGCUCCUGCUGCAUGGUGGGGGUUGGAAAGCUCCGGCGGUUGUGGAUGGACUCGCGGCCUAUCAGCUUGUUGGUGGGGUAGUGGCCUACCAAGGCGGCGACGGGUAGCCGGCCUGAGAGGGUGACCGGCCACAUUGGGACUGAGACACGGUCCAG
rnacentral:rRNA from 1 species